rnacentral:lncRNA from 1 species
CCCACCUCCACAAGAAAACGAUGUUGAUUAAGUAGGGACCAAUUAUGUCAUUCUGUAUCAUACAAUUGGUGCACAAGGAAUCUGUUUUAUCCAUCACACGUUAGCGUUAAUCUCUUUUUUUCCUUUUUACUCUUCCGUUCUGGUGGGUGGCUCCGGGUCAGUGAGUCAGGAGAAGUAACUGGGUUACUGCUUUUUUGCCCUUUCUACUGUCUUUCGGGGGGGCCAUGGAGGUCAGGAAGAACAGUCUGACUACUGCUCCUAAGGGUGGCGGGUGUCGUUAGCCGGCGGAGGCACGCGUGUGGGACGGGUGGGACAGGUGCCAGUGAACUGAGGACCGUGUAUGUCUGUAGUCAACCGGGCAAGAUUGCCGGUACAGCUAUAACCUUUGGUUCCCCGAUGCACGUGAACCAACUCUUUCGCACGUGUUCCCAGCUAAGCACUUUCGUUUUUUCUUAUUUUGUUGUCCUGUCAUUCCACCUUGGUCUUAUGAUUUUUCCUAGAAGCAGCAGCAGCAGCUCCAACAAAAAACUAAACUAAUUUAUGUUGUAGGAAAAAGAUACUAAUUACGAAUAUAGCUAGUUCAGUGACUAAUAAAAUGAAAUUUAUACAAAAGGGAAAGGAAAAAGGGACCUACUUGACGUCCAGGGCGCCAAAUGGCGGACCUAUUUGUCCAAGGUCAAUGUGGUCUUCGGCAAGGGGCUUUUCCCAAGGGGAAAAAAUCGAUGACAAAAAUGAAAUCUAUUUUAAUUUUUAUAUCAUAUGUAGUUAAGUUGUGUAUAACAACAUAAAUGUUAAUAAUAAUUAUAACAUGCGGUGUUGUAACUAAUGCAUUAAGUACCACAUCUGGAGAGUAAAUAUGCAAUAACAAAAUUCAAAGGAAUUGAUGGGGUCGGACGAGCGGUAAAACAUGUAUUCGUGUAUAUACUAAGUACUUUUCAAAUUUAGAGGGUCGACCGCCCUUAUGAUAAUGGUUUUAUAAAUAUUUAUCUAAGAGUAUCUUCAAUAGUAGUAUAAAUUGGUAUCUCAAAAAUCCCUUUUGCAUCUUCGUUUAUAUUUCGAUAUAUUUAAAUUCAAAUUUUGCUCCAAUAAAAAAAUCUAAAUUCAUUUGUUGUCUCUCGUGUAUGUAAAAAAAAUACAUAAUUCAAUUUUAUUUUAUUUUAUAAAUAAUUUUAUGUAAAAAAAAUAAAUUCAAUUGCAUCUCUUCAUUAAAGAAGUUUUCGAUCACUUUUUACGCCACGAUUGAAGAUGCUCUAAAUAAACAAUAUUGAUACACUCUUCUAUCCAUGUAACUACAAGUAGGUUUUUGCAAAAAUUAGACAUCAUACAAGUACAAAAUAUUUUACUUUUUUUUUCUUUUUCUUUUAAUAAAAACUACUUGUUUUUCAACAGGGUGUCCGAUCUCUUUAAUCUCAAGUGCUCGACAGUAUUACUAGAAAAGCAUUGUGCUCUAAGCUUCGUGAGCAAAAAGGUUCAAAAAGAAGAGAUAUUUAGAAAUAAUUUUAUAAUAAAAGUCAAUAUUAUAAAAAUAAUAAAAUAUUAGAAUAUCUAUCUUUUGUGGGAUUUUCCACUGUAAAAGUGACAUGGCUUAUGGCUCCCAACAUUUCUCGUUGAUGUCACUAGAGUAGCAUCUUAUUUUCAAUCAAAAUUUGUUUAAAAAUUCAGAUGUCAUAAUCAACUUUUCACUUUUUCAUCAUACAUUGAUUUCUUG